GAGGGUGUAGCUCAAGUGGUAGAGCACAUGCUUAGCACGCAUGAGGUCCUGGGUUCAAUCCCCACUACUUCCU
rnacentral:tRNA from 1 species